CGAGACCGUCACCUUGGACGGCCCUGCGCAGACUUGCGGCGCUCGUCAUUGGUUGCGUCGGCUGGUGUGGUUGACGUUCUUGAUUUUGUGCACGGUGUACAGCCUCAUGCAGUGCUACGACGUCUACAAUGAGUACAUAGGGUACCCUAAAGCUGUGGCGGUUCAGCUUCAAACGGAGCGCCCGGCGCAGUUUCCAGCGGUGACUCUAUGCAGCCUGAACC